UAAGAAUGUUUUUGUAAUUCAUAGGUCCUUACCAAUGCCAAGGAAGGGCGCAGUUUCAGCGCCCUUAUACAUGGCAUGGUUGGAGACGCUUACAAGGGAUAUGCCACCGACGAUUUUAGUUCGCGGAAAUCAUACAUCGGUAUUGACAUUCUACUCGUAGUCCAGCGAGAAUAAUCUAACUAUAUCUGAGAUUUAACGCCCGUUUUCGCCAAGUUUGGAAAGUGGGCUUGCGUCGUUCAUUAGCAGAAUGAAGAAAUGGACGAAGCGAAUUGGAGAUUCUAAUAGGUGACUGAUAAAGUUGCUAAACUCGAAGAUUGUAAUGACGAGCACAACGAAAGAACCUUAGGGAGCUCAACCAUCGAUAUGACCCAACAGGAUUCUUGAAUGUGUGCGAAUAUGACUUGGGUGUCCCGAUUGAAAAAUAUACUGAACAUUAGCGAUGAGAAAAUACUAAGUAAAAGAAGAGUUUCUUGACAGAAUGAGCGAACCUUUUACCUCUGAUCGAGCAAUGAAUGACAAAAACAAUCUAGAAAGAAAUCCCAGUUUGAUAAUAGAUAGUGUUAGAUAUGUCAAAUUUUAGAAAAAAUAGAAUAAUAAAAUAGAAGUGGUUGAGAAAGACAUAAAUAGUGAAAUAGUGAUUGAAAAAUGAGAAGAAAAAUAAUAAAGCAGGAAGAAAAUAGGGACAUAUUUUACGGGAAAGUUUUAUUGUGAUUGAAUAAGAUUGCUCGGAUUAGAAAUAUGUAUUAGCGUUCUUAUUGUAAAUAACUCGACUAUUUUUUAUUAAGUUUAAAAAUGUCAAAGUUUCUCUAAAACAAUGUACAAUGUAACUAUUUAAGAUUUUAGAUAUUAUUAAAAUUAUUUAAAAAGA